AUUGAACGCUGGCGGCAGGCCUAACACAUGCAAGUCGAGCGGCAGAAGAGUACUUGCUUCUUGUUUCAGCGGCCGACGGGUGAGUGAUGCCGAGGAAUCUCCCUAUCUGCGGGUUAUAACGUCCGGAAACAGGCGCUCUUACCGCAUACCUCCUGAGGGCGUAAGUGUGAAAUCUUCGGAUCUCCCGCUCUCAGAUGAUUCGAGGUCGGAUUAGCUAGUUGGUGGGGUAAAGGCCUACCAAGGCGACGAUCCGUAACUGGUCUGAGAGGAUGAUCAGUCACACUGGAACUGAGACACGGUCCAGACUCCUACGGGAGGCAGCAGUGGGGAAUAUUGGACAAUGGGCGCAAGCCUGAUCCAGCCAUGCCGCGUGUGUGAAGAAGGCCUUCGGAUUGUAAAGCACUUUAGGUUGGGAGGAAAAGCAGUAGGUUAAUACCUCGCUGUUUUGACGUUACCCACAGAAUAAGCACCGGCUAACUUCGUG
rnacentral:rRNA from 1 species